CCUACGGGAGGCAGCAGUGGGGAAUAUUGCACAAUGGGGGAAACCCUGAUGCAGCGACGCCGCGUGAGUGAAGAAGUAUUUCGGUAUGUAAAGCUCUAUCAGCAGGGAAGAAACCCACCCUCCGGGGUGGCUGACGGUACCUGACUAAGAAGCCCCGGCUAACUACGUGCCAGCAGCCGCGGUAAUACGUAGGGGGCAAGCGUUAUCCGGAUUUACUGGGUGUAAAGGGAGCGUAGGUGGCAAGGCAAGUCAGAUGUGAAAACCCGGGGCCCAACCCCGGGAGUGCAUUUGAAACUGUCUGGCUAGAGUGCAGGAGAGGUAAGGGGAAUUCCUAGGGGAGCGGUGAAAUGCAUAGAUAUUAGGAGGAACACCAGUGGCGAAGGCGGCUUACUGGACUGUAACUGACACUGAGGCUCGAAAGCGUGGGGAGCAAACAGGAUUAGAUACCCCUGUAGUC
rnacentral:rRNA from 1 species